AGAGUUUGAUCAUGGCUCAGGAUGAACGCUGGCGGCGUGCUUAACACAUGCAAGUCGAACGAGAGAAGAUUAGUGCUUGCGCUGAUCCGAUCGAGUGGCGGACGGGUGAGUAACGCGUGGGUAACCUGCCUCAUACAGGGGAAUAACAGUUGGAAACGGCUGCUAAAACCGCAUAAGCGCACAGUAUCGCAUGAUACAGUGUGAAAAACUCCGGUGGUAUGAGAUGGACCGCGUCUGAUUAGCUAGUUGGUGAGGUAACGGCCACCAAGGCAACGAUCAGUAGCCGGCCUGAGAGGGUGAACGGCCACAUUGGGACUGAGACACGGCCCAAACUCCGUACGGGAGCGA
rnacentral:rRNA from 1 species